CGGGGGGGGGGGGGGGGGGGGGCGGGUAGCGGCCCCUCCGGAGCCUUCGGCCCGGCCCUCUGCGGGAGCCCAGGCCCAGCACGGCCCGCCGCGGAAGGCGGGAAGGUUGUCCCCUCAGCCCCUCCGGGCCUCGCUAGCCGCGUUUGGCCAACAACCCUGUGGGAUGAAGGUGAGCUCUGAGGGAAGAAUCUGCUGCAGUUUGCCCGGGAACGAAGCAGAAAGCCGAUUUAUGGUUACCGCCGCACCCGCAGGGGGAGGAAGCAGCUCGCAACUCGCCUCAGGAAACGUUGCCUGAGGCGCGGAGCGGAGCCUGCCCCAGCACGGCCGUGGCAGAGGAACCACCGCUCCCCUGGAAGGAAUUGAUGACUACAUCGUCUGAAAACUGAACAGAAGGCUGCUAUGUUCUCUCUGGCUUCCUGACGUCCUACUGGAAACUUGAAUACUGAUAGCAAAGGCUGAUACAGGGAAGAUGAAAUUAAGAAACUCCUUAGAGCUCGUGCUGUGAUCGUAUCACAGGCUGUGUUAUUCUUAUCUCCCUCUGCUGAAUCUGCCAAGUCAACUUCAAGCAGUCGUCCACGGCAUUAAGAUAUUCCAGUGACCCUGAGCACUCACAAUCUGCACCAGGACGGAAUACUGAAAGCUGCAAAGCUUACUCUUCUUACACUGCUGUACUAGUAUUUACCACAUACCAUUCAGGAGCACAAAUUUUUCAUUAUCAAGAAGCUCUAAACAUAAUAAAGGACUUAAUGCCCAUAAAUCUGACUGAUAUCCCGCCAGCCUCGUGAAAAGGCGUUGAGGGACUUGCACUGACCAGUGCUGUCUGAUGAAUGCCUUUGUCAUUCCCCACAGACGCCUAUUUAGCUCUGAAACACGCAGUAGUCGGGCAGAUCCUGCAGAUUCCCACUCGUGGCACAUCAGGUUAUCCAGCUACUGUUCACGGCCAAACCACCCUGUUCCUGUGAGAGUCCACAGAGAAGCUGCCUAAAGGCCACCGCAAGCGCGUUUCUCAAGCUAAUAUUCACAGCUCAGCCCAAAUUUAGGCCAAGGCAUAGAGAUGAAGCAGUUUUACUGGGAUUGAUGAAUUGGGCUCCUCCACUCAGUAGGUAGGAGGGAGGCAUCUGUUCUCAUUCUCCAGAGUCACUUCAUGCUUAAACUUUUAACCCCGGGAUCCCACUGCCUUCCGUACAGGAAUUGGCAGGGUAAUACACCGCAAGGCUUUGAAUGCUUUCUGAAGGGGGACAUCUGAUUUACGUUGUUCCUCCAUCACCAGACCUUUCACUUGCAAGUCCUCUACCAGUCAGGGACAGACAUCUGAUGGGAAACACUCAAGAGCCGGUAACAGAGGGGUGACGCGCAAGUGGCGAGUUCAGGCAGUAACCUGGGAGUAUUUUUGGAUGCACUGUUGACACUGAGCUCUCAAUAGUCUGAGAAAUGCUUUUCGUCAUCUCGAGGUGACUUCUUACCAUGUCUGUCCCAUUCUGAGCUAUGACUUGACUGCAAUUAUUUAUGUCUUUGUCACUUCUUGGCUGAAGUACAGCAAUCCACGGCACUUCAGAAACUCCAGCCAGUAUACGGGACACUGCAGACCACCACCUCAGCAGCACCAGUAAUCAUCCCAGACUCCACUCAAGUUCCCCGUAAAACAAAAAUCAAGCGCAGGGUUCUCACCUCCCCAGUCCUCUGUGCUGCAAGCCAAGUGUAGCCAGAAGGCUGCCCAGUAGGAUGAAGAGUAUUGCUGACACCUUCAUCGGUGGAGGGAUGGUACAGCUUUGUGGCCCAAAAGGAGAACUGUUUCAGGAACAAAUCUGAGGAUAUGGAAUGAAUCAAGAAAGACACACAUCCAAGGAGCGUGUCCCAUCUCCUCCUGUCCCCCCAUCCCCACCGACCCAGCAGCACAGUCCCUCGGCAGGACCAGCCCCGCUCCCCUGCGGCCGGCGGUGAAGGUUUUGGCAGACGCUGCCGGCGCUGGAACCGUAAGCGGAGAGCGGGGCAGAGGCAGGCGGCAGCGGAUGGCGGGCUCAGGGCAGGCGGGUUUUGGCUUCGUAUGAGAGCAAAGAAAACUGCAAACCAGGACAACGUCCUUCCGAGAUGGAUGGAAACGCCUGACGGAGCCAGCGCUAGGAAAGGCGUCUGGAAUAAACCCGUACAGCCGUGCCCGGCCCUGCGUUCACCUGCACCAUCAGAAACUUGGGGCCUAGAGACAGGGCGGGGAGGUUGCUUCAGAGAAGGCACGCCUACACUAAGGCAUUAAACUGCUUGAUUCUACAGUAAUUAUACAUAAAAUCUUUGAAGCAGCUAAUAUUUCCAUAUUUCUUACCUUCACAGCAGGGAUUUCUGUAACUACAUCAAUUAGUUUUUCCAAGGAGCAGCCACUUGCUCUGGCCAGUAGGAAAAAAAACCACCAUCGGGGUUGCAGAGGCGCCCGGGACAGGCUGGACCCCCGAGGGUGGCAAUGUCUGGGUGACCACCUUUCCAUCGAGGGAAGACACCCCGCAUUUCUUUUUUAACACAGCAACGCCGAGGCAGGAGUCACAGCAAGUCCAAGCUGCAAACGCGCGCUGAAAAUCAACGGGAGCUUUUAAUUUCUCAAGCAAGACGAUCUUCAAGCGCAAUUACAACAUUUUUCCGGAGACGCUGUAAUUAAAGGAAUCCGAACCUCGUGAUGAAUUAAGUUUAUUAUUCCAGCCUACGGCGAACUGCGCCGCCCUUUUCGCUUCCCGGCAGCAGGAAGUUUGAGCGGGGGGUUGCGCUGCAGGUACCUUCGGACUCGAGGGGAUGGUGGAGCUGGGGGACAAACCAGCGGGAGAGGCAGAAUCCGACAGCCGAGUCCUUCCCGGGGCACCCUUAGGAGGUUGUGCCACAUCAAGUUCACGUACCAGCAGGAGGGAAUUUCUUUUUUUCCCGAUGGAUUCCAAGUCGCACGGUCACGUGUGUGCUCAUCGCAGCGUUACUCCUGGAACUCCACAG